rnacentral:lncRNA from 1 species
AAACUUGUGUUAUUAAGCAAUAAUGAAACUAUGAGUAUAAGAGAAAUUAUAAUAAAACAUAAAAAUGAAAAAAAAUGAAUGCUAAAAGAAAUAAAAUGCUAUAUAUGGGUAUCGAACCCACUCCACUAGAGACCAUGAAACUACCCUCUCUCCACUAGACCAAUUAUGAUUAGCUAUUAUUUACAAAAACAACUUGGGUAUAUGAGCCAGAAAA